rnacentral:rRNA from 1 species
UACCUGCAGCUCUAGUGGUGAUCGCUAUUAUUGGGCCUAAAACGUCCGUAGCCGGCUUAUUAAAUGCCUGGGUAAAUCGUGUAGCUUAACUAUACGAAUUCCGGGUAGACUGAUAGGCUUGAGACCGGGAGAAGCUAGAGGUACUCCUGGGGUAGAGGCGAAAUUCUGUAAUCCUAGGGGGACCACCAGUGGCGAAGGCGUCUAGCUAGAACGGGUCUGACGGUGAGGGACGAAGCCCUGGGGCGCAAACCGGAUUAGAUACCCGGGUAGUCCAGGGUGUAAACGCUGCUUGCUUGAUGUUAGUUGGGCUCUGAGCCCAAUUAGUGUCGGAGAGAAGUUGUUAAGCAAGCUGUCUGGGAAGUACGGUCGCAAGACUGAAACUUAAAGGAAUUGGCGGGGAGCACAGCAACGGGUGGAGCGUGCGGUUU